AGGCUCAUAACUCAGUUGGUUAGAGUGCUCGCUUGAUAAGCGUGAAGUCAGUAGUUCAAGUCUACUUGGGCCUA